rnacentral:rRNA from 1 species
GUGGUAAUGCCGGAUGCUCCAGUUGGAUGCAUGUCCUUCUGGGAAAGAUUCAUCGGUAUGGGAUGGGGUCGCGUCCUAUCAGCUUGAUGGCGGGGUAACGGCCCACCAUGGCUUCGACGGGUAGCCGGCCUGAGAGGGCGACCGGCCACAUUGGGACUGAGAUACGGCCCAGACUCCUACGGGAGGCAGCAGUGGGGAAUAUUGCACAAUGGGCGCAAGCCUGAUGCAGCGACGCCGCGUGCGGGAUGACGGCCUUCGGGUUGUAAACCGCUUUUGACUGGGAGCAAGCCCUUCGGGGUGAGUGUACCUUUCGAAUAAGCACCGGCUAACUACGUGCCAGCAGCCGCGGUAAUACGUAGGGUGCAAGCGUUAUCCGGAAUUAUUGGGCGUAAAGGGCUCGUAGGCGGUUCGUCGCGUCCGGUGUGAAAGUCCAUCGCUUAACGGUGGAUCCGCGCCGGGUACGGGCGGGCUUGAGUGCGGUAGGGGAGACUGGAAUUCCCGGUGUAACGGUGGAAUGUGUAGAUAUCG